UGGGGAAUAUUGGACAAUGGGGGGAACCCUGAUCCAGCCAUGCCGCGUGUGUGAAGAAGGCCUUAUGGUUGUAAAGCACUUUAAGCGAGGAGGAGGGUACUGGUAUUAAUACUACCAGCUACUGGACGUUACUCGCAGAAUAAGCACCGGCUAACUCUGUGCCAGCAGCCGCGGUAAUACAGAGGGUGCGAGCGUUAAUCGGAUUUACUGGGCGUAAAGCGUGCGUAGGCGGCUAAUUGAGUCGGAUGUGAAAUCCCCGAGCUUAACUUGGGAAUUGCAUUCGAUACUGGUUAGCUAGAGUGUGGGAGAGGGUGGUAGAAUUCCAGGUGUAGCGGUGAAAUGCGUAGAGAUCUGGAGGAAUACCGAUGGCGAAGGCAGCCAUCUGGCCUAACACUGACGCUGGGGUACGAAAGCAUGGGGAGCAAACAGG
rnacentral:rRNA from 1 species